rnacentral:rRNA from 1 species
UAACGAACGAGAUCUUAACCUGCUAAUUAGCGGUAAAUACACUAUAUUCUUAAGUGAAAUUAGAAUAUAGAUAAAUUGUGCUAAUUUUGAUUAAAAUAUUAGAAUGUUUUUUUUAAUAAAAACGUUCUUUUCCCUU